CGAGGAGGAAUUAUUUGAUGCAAUCUUUGCAGACCUGUCCAAGGCUUUUGAUCUGGUGGAUCACAGUCCACUGUUACAAAACUGCAGGCCUUGUGGCAAUGGCCUGCUCAGUUAUCAACAAGACCCCAAUUUGUUUAAACAUUGCAGAGUACAGGCUGGAAUUUUGGCUGGCAGAUACAUUUGUUCCAGUAUGAGAUCCAGCCAUGAUGCCGAUAAACUCGCUAAAUCAAAAGCAGAGUUGGAGAGACAGCAGAUCAAAAAUGACGUUCAGAAGAAAAGAAAAAUGAAGCUUUGUAACAAUGAAAGCUGACAUCCAGGUAAAAAGAGGAAGCUUGUCAAUAAGCCAAAGGUACGA